UACGUAGGGUGCAAGCGUUAAUCGGAAUUACUGGGCGUAAAGCGUGCGCAGGCGGUCUUGCAAGACAGGUGUGAAAGUCCCCGGGCUUAACCCUGGGAACUGCGACUUGUGACUGCAAGGCUGGAGUACGGCAGAGGGGGAUGGAAUUCCGCGGUGUAGCAGUGAAAUGCGUAGAUAUGCGGAGGAACACCGAUGGCGAAGGCAGGUCUCUGGGCCGAUACUGACGCUGGAGGAGCGAAAGCGUGGGGAGCGAACAGG
rnacentral:rRNA from 1 species